CCUACGGGUGGCAGCAGUGGGGAAUAUUGGGCAAUGGACGCAAGUCUGACCCAGCAACGCCGCGUGAAGGAAGAAGGCUUUCGGGUUGUAAACUUCUUUUAAGGGGGAAGAGCAGAAGACGGUACCCCUUGAAUAAGCCACGGCUAACUACGUGCCAGCAGCUGCGGUAAUACGGAGGUGGCAAGCGUUGACCGGAUUUACUGGGUGUAAAGGGCGUGCAGCCGGGGAGACAAGUCAGAUGUGAAAUCCACGGGCUCAACCCGUGAACUGCAUUUGAAACUGGUUCCCUUGAGUGUCAGAGAGGUAAUCGGAAUUCCUGGUGUAGCGGUGAAAUGCGUAGAUAUUAGGAAGAACACCAGUGGCGAAGGCAGAUUACUGGACGAUAACUGACGGUGAGGCGCGAAAGCGUGGGGAGCGAACAGGAUUAGAUACCCCAGUAGUC
rnacentral:rRNA from 1 species